rnacentral:rRNA from 1 species
CCUACGGGGGGCUGCAGUGGGGAAUAUUGCACAAUGGGCGCAAGCCUGAUGCAGCCAUGCCGCGUGUAUGAAGAAGGCCUUCGGGUUGUAAAGUACUUUCAGCGAGGAGGAAGGCGUUGUGGUUAAUAACCGCAACGAUUGACGUUACUCGCAGAAGAAGCACCGGCUAACUCCGUGCCAGCAGCCGCGGUAAUACGGAGGGUGCAAGCGUUACUCGGAAUUACUGGGCGUGAAGCGCACAGUCGGAUGUGAAAUCCCCGGGCUCAACCUGGGAACUGCAUCCGAAACUGGCAGGCUAGAGUCUUGUAGAGGGGGGUAGAAUUCCAGGUGUAGCGGUGAAAUGCGUAGAGAUCUGGAGGAAUACCGGUGGCGAAGGCGGCCCCCUGGACAAAGACUGACGCUCAGGUGCGAAAGCGUGGGGAGCAAACAGGAUUAGAUACCCCAGUAGUC